GCCCCGUUGGUCUAGCGGUUAUGACGCCGCCCUCUCAAGGCGGAGAUCGCCGGUUCGAAUCCGGUACGGGGUA
rfam:Aeromicrobium sp. Leaf289 contig_4, whole genome shotgun sequence.